rnacentral:rRNA from 1 species
AGACCCGAAACCCGGUGAUCUAGCCAUGGGCAGGUUGAAGGUUGGGUAACACUAACUGGAGGACCGAACCGACUAAUGUUGAAAAAUUAGCGGAUGACCUGUGGCUGGGGGUGAAAGGCCAAUCAAACCGGGAGAUAGCUGGUUCUCCCCGAAAGCUAUUUAGGUAGCGCCUCGUGAAUUCAUCUCCGGGGGUAGAGCACUGUUUCGGCUAGGGGGCCAUCCCGGCUUACCAACCCGAUGCAAACUGCGAAUACCGGAGAAUGUUAUCACGGGAGACACACGGCGGGUGCUAACGUCCGUCGUGAAGAGGGAAACAACCCAGACCGCCAGCUAAGGUCCCAAAGUCAUGGUUAAGUGGGAAACGAUGUGGGAAGGCCCAGACAGCCAGGAUGUUGGCUUAGAAGCAGCCAUCAUUUAAAGAAAGCGUAAUAGCUCACUGGUCGAGUCGGCCUGCGCGGAAGAUGUAACGGGGCUAAACCAUGCACCGAAGCUGCGGCAGCGAACGUAUCACCCAAGACAACUUUACGGAGUUGACGAUUGACGGAGCGAAGCGACGUCAAAGCGUUCAUUAAAGUCGAGUUGGCUUAGGGAUACGUUCGUUGGGUAGGGGAGCGUUCUGUAAGCCUGUGAAGGUGUGUCGUGAGGCAUGCUGGAGGUAUCAGAAGUGCGAAUGCUGACAUAAGUAACGAUAAAGCGGGUGAAAAGCCCGCUCGCCGGAAGACCAAGGGUUCCUGUCCAACGUUAAUCGGGGCAGGGUGAGUCGACCCCUAAGGCGAGGCCGAAAGGCGUAGUCGAUGGGAAACGGGUUAAUAUUCCCGUACUUGGUGUUACUGCGAAGGGGGGACGGAGAAGGCUAUGUUGGCCGGGCGACGGUUGUCCCGGUUUAAGCGUGUAGGUGUGUGUUCCAGGUAAAUCCGGUUCACUUUAACACUGAGGCGUGAUGACGAGGCACUACGGUGCUGAAGC